GUUAUGAAGCGGAAAAUACUUCAGAUAAUGCUUUUUUUUUUAAAUGUAUGAACAUAAAAAGAGAGGUUAGCAAUUGUCUCAUCAAAAAGCGUCCUUUGCUGUUGCUGUCUGGACCUUUGUCUGUUUGUCUCUUUAUGAUAUCAGACGCCUGCCAUCUGCUCCAUGUUAUUACGGGCAGCGGAUUUGGAUUUAAAGCAGCUCCGCUUCUGUUAUGCUGCUUAGCUAUACAGUCCCCGCUGUAACUUUAUAAACCCAGUACAACCAUGUGCAAUUUAAACUAGUGUAAGGACAACGUCACGUGUACGUUUUUGCUCGUCUUUGCAACGUUAUUCCUUCCUAAUCCCCAUAAUGUAUGCCGUCAAACGUGGUUGGUGACGUCAGCGUCCCAGCAGAGAGUUGGGUUUUUGUCCUCAGGAGCAAUAGAAGUAGGAGGAAGAGCAGGAUGCAUCUCACACUUUACCGGAUCGUUUGCCUCCAAAAUCGGUUCAGGGUUUGUGUCCAGGAUGUGAGAGUGUUCCUCGGACGUCAUUUGUUGGAGUCGCGGUGUUAAAGAUGAAAGCGGUGACUCUGGAUCCGAGACUGAUUGAGGUCAUGACCCGACAGGUCAAGCCACAACGGCAGCCGCAGCUCCUACUCAUGAAUUUGCAUCUGCUGGCCAACCCUGGAGACUCUCUGCUGCUGCAGCACACCCUCGAUCGCCUGCUGCGCUGGCUGUGCCCGAGUCUCUGCAUCUUCCAUGUGUCAGAGAGAGCAUCCCCGUUCGGCAGCUACACCCACCUGUGUCCUGUGGCAGGCUACCCUUCCGUGGCCAUCACGUUUUUCCUGCACGAGGCCUAUGGAGAGGAGAGAAUCCUCAAAGUGCUGGAUUUCUUUCAGAGACCUCCCUGGCAGUAUCAUCACACGGAGAGCUGCGGCAACAAAACAGGAGGGAUUCACAUUAGCUCCUGCGGCUCCCGUGCCAGUGCACUGCUGCGGCCCUACCUUCUGCCCAGCAGAGACUUCUAUAGUUUGGGUGCAGGGAUGCCAGUGUGGGGAGUCAGACCCGUGCACUGUGGAGGCGAAAUCCUACGUGUGACACUGUACAGCGGUUAUGAGAACUACGAGGACGCUGUGCGUCUAUAUGAGACAGUGCUGCAGCGACAGGCAGAGGAACAGAAGUCAGGUUUCUGCUGGUUCACCCUCCACACAGAGCCGGGCCUCUGCCUGCAGCUGGCGUUGAAGCAGUUGUCACCAGGGGUCCGGGUGGAGCCGUGCAGCUCGGCUGUGCUGCAGUUCAGUGUGGAUGAAAUUGGCCAGCUGGUGCCACUGCUGCCAAACCCCUGCACACCUAUCAGCAGCACACGCUGGCAGACGGAAGACCUGGACGGCAACAAAGUUCUUUUUCAAGUGAAAACCCCUUCUCAACCUCAGCGACCUCUGACCUGUGCUUUCCCUCUAACCUGCCCCAACGUAUCUCCUCGAGGUAUGCAGCUAAGGAGCUCCAGUCAGGGUCAGAACCUGUCGCCCUGCGGCUUCACCCCUGCCCUGUCCUGGCAAUCACAACGACCAGGGCACAGACCUCACAGUGAUCCCGUCCUGGAGAAGCUUCAUGGUGGAGUUGAGAGCCUUGGAUCAGGAAGCUGCUGCAGCACUCCUCCGGGGAGCUCCUGCUACUCCUCCCAGCACAGCAGCCCUGCUCCACCACUGUCCACCAAACAGCCUGACUCCCCUCUGCGCCCUUCCAUCACCCGUUCCCUCUCUCAUCUCCUGCUGGAAGAAGAGGAAGAGCCAGAGACCAAUGUAGACACAGGAGUUCCCGUCUCGCUUCGCUGCAAAGCGGGAGUCAAAACAAUCACUCGCUCUUCAUCCACAGACAUUUUGAUGACGUCCCACUUAGAGAGGCCGGCAGCUGUCGGCGAGUCGGCUGUUGAGAACAUGGCAAAGGAGUUGAGUGAGUGUCUACAGCAGACACACAAACAUCCACAGUACCCCUCCAGGAUGUGGAGCUCUGGUUGUUACACCGAUGCAGUCAGGGAGAACUGUGGGGGCAGGGUCACAGCAGCAGGACAGAGCCCAUGUCGUGGGCUGCUGCUCGAGGCCAGGACUAGUACUGAUCUGCUGGUGUCAUUCUCAAACAACCAGGAGCCGGAAGACGAGUUCUUCAUCUGAGUCAAUACCUCUGUGCUGUCCGCAGAUGCCACCUCCUCACAGAGCAGGAGAUGCACAACAGUGAGCCUUUUCCUACAUCUUUAAUGUUGCAGUAAUGGAGGGGAUUUGGCCAACGACGUGUUAAUUACCGCAAAGGCCACAGUGAUCAGAGGGAUCAGCACGGAGCCCAUCUUAGUGAAAACCCUACACUGAAUCCUGGACAUCGCCAACAACAGAUGGCAGCAAAACCCACGCCAAUAUGCACAGUGCAAUUAGUCACUCUCUAAAGGGACAGUAAGGGAUGAGAACUUUAAUCUACCAAGACGAUAGCGAUUGAAAAACCCUAGGUCAGUUUUCACUGGGAUUUCAUCCGUUGUUCCUUUUUGUUCCCUCUCUUGUUCCUCGCUGUACAUGAGACAGAGAGAAGGACAUUAAUACUUCUCCCAGGUAUUCACUUUGAAAAGUU